GAGAGAUCGUAUCCUUCAGUUCGGCUGGAUCGGAGACAGGUGCUGCAUGGCUGUCGUCAGCUCGUGUCGUGAGAUGUUGGGUUAAGUCCCGCAACGAGCGCAACCCUCGCCCUUAGUUGCCAGCAUUCAGUUGGGCACUCUAAGGGGACUGCCGGUGAUAAGCCGAGAGGAAGGUGGGGAUGACGUCAAGUCCUCAUGGCCCUUACGGGCUGGGCUACACACGUGCUACAAUGGUGGUGACAGUGGGCAGCGAGACCGCGAGGUCGAGCUAAUCUCCAAAAGCCAUCUCAGUUCGGAUUGCACUCUGCAACUCGAGUGCAUGAAGUUGGAAUCGCUAGUAAUCGCAGAUCAGC
rnacentral:rRNA from 1 species